CUUCAGUAAGUAUAUAAAUGUACAUUUACCUUCCAAGUAAAAAGUCUGAUCUUUGCAGGCUGAAGA
rnacentral:tRNA from 1 species